GUCCCUGUAGCGCGAUUAAUAGCCCGUUGGGCUUCUAAUCCAAAGGGAGUGGGUUUGAAUCCCACCUGGGGUG